rnacentral:pre_miRNA from 1 species
AAAGUACUCCCUCCAUCCCAAAAUUCUUGUCUUAGAUUUGUCUAGAUACGGAUGUAUCAAGUCACAUUUUAGUAUUAGAUACAUCCGUAUCUAGACAAAU